rnacentral:rRNA from 1 species
GUAGGUGGCAAGCGUUGUCCGGAAUUAUGGGCGUAAAGCGCGCGCAGGCGGGUCCUUUAAGUCUGAUGUGAAAGCCCACGGGCUCAACUGUGGAGGGUCAUUGGAAACUGGGGGACUUGAGUACAGAAGAGGAAAGCGGAAUUCCAAGUGUAGCGGUGAAAUGCGUAGAGAUUUGGAGGAACACCAGUGGCGAAGGCGGCUUUCUGGUCUGUAACUGACGCUGAGGCGCGAAAGCGUGGGGAGCAAACAGGAUUAGAUACCCUGGUAGUCCACGCCGUAAACGAUGAGUGCUAAGUGUUAGGGGGUUUCCGCCCCUUAGUGCUGCAGCUAACGCAUUAAGCACUCCGCCUGGGGAGUACGGCCGCAAGGCUG